rnacentral:rRNA from 1 species
UACGUAGGCAGCAAGCGUUGUUCGGAGUUACUGGGCGUAAAGGGUGUGUAGGCGGUUCUUUUAAGUUUGGUGUGAAAUCUCCCGGCUCAACUGGGAGGGUGCGCCGAAUACUGAGGGACUAGAGUACGGGAGAGGAAAGUGGAAUUCCUGGUGUAGCGGUGAAAUGCGUAGAUAUCAGGAGGAACACCGGUGGUGUAGACGGCUUUCUGGACCGGUUCUGACGCUGAUGCGCGAAAGCGUGGGGAGCAAACGGGG